AACAACCUAAGGGUGAGUAAAUGAUGACAGAAUUUAAAUUUUUGGGCGAACUAACCCUGUAAGGGUAUAUAUUACUACUCUAAGGAACUAAUGUGCCCCUUUUAGGGGUAGAUGAUCCCUUUAAGGGUACUGCCCCAGUGACGAGCUGUUGUGCUCCUGAUGGUACAAUUUUUGCACUUUUUUUUCUGACAGUGUAAUAUGUCCAAGAAUGUAUUCAUCCCACACAGGUGCACACCUUCAGAAGCAUCUUCUCUCAUCUAAUUCAAUACACAGGACACAAAGUGCAUAGCCUGGCAAAGACACAGCCUGGGUUUACACUGACUGGGAAGUCAACCUGCACAAAACUGCUCUUCCAAGUUAUUCACUCCUUUUGGUGGCCCAUCACAGGAAGACCCAUGCGAAUCGGUCUCAUCAGAGCUACAAAGCAGUUUUCAAAGAUCCACAGUGGAACAAUGAGUAAGCCAACAAAAAGGAGAGAUGCCAACAGUAAAGGGAUGCCAAAUGUGUCACAGGAAGUUUUAUAUCUCAUUGGACAGAUAUAAAUAUGACACACAAGGAAACAAACAAAGGAGACAAUUCUAAAAUGUACCUAUGUGUAAAUUACAACCUAGAGAAUCCACUACAGUUGGUAAGUUGUUGUCAGUGUUACUGGAGUGAAUCAAUGGAGGUUCAACAGAAGAGGCAGGAAAUUUGCUUGGGAAGUGGAGUAGUAGUCAAUAAAGAGUAAUAAAACUUACCUUUUUGUAUCUGGGAACAGGGAGCUACACUCCAUCAUAACAAUUUACAGCAUGCAGCCAAGCCAUGCAGAGAGAGAGAUGUGUGCAUGCAAGAUAGAAAAGGUGGAAGAAAGAGAAUAAAAACAACAUUGACAUAAAAUAAAGCUAUUUACAGAUAUAAGUUUGGAAAAAAGACAACACAAAAAGCAUGAUCAAUAAGAGAGGGGGAAAAGCAAGCACCCAGGGGGUUUGACCCAUGUGUUAAAAAAAAUGUAUAUGGAGUCACUGAUUUGCCCACUGAUUUGUCUAAAUGUAGUCCCCCCCCCCACCCUGCUUUUUUCCUGUGUGACUCAAUCUGAUAGUCAGUACAACCCUAAAUUUAGCUGUCAUGAAGUGAUGGAGUGUUUGGAGGUGUUUCAAAGGGAAAAAAAAUGUAAAUGCCAUUAGAUCAACCCCCAAUUUCAUCUUCAGAGGAUGUCAGGGCAGCAUCUUUGUUCUAUAUAAAUGGUUGAUUUUGGCUAUGCAUUCUCAGUUGGAAAGUUGUAUUUAGAGGCCAUAAUUUACAUGAGAACACCACAUCAUUUAAAACAGGACAGUCAACCGAGAGAGAAAAGUUGGAGGUGGAAUACGUCAGUCAAAUAAAACUUAUUGUAACACUUUUGAAUGUGUACUGACUAUCACGUAAGAGAGCCACACCACGGGGCAAAACAAAUAAUGAGAAUGAAUAUCAUUUCAUUAAAAAAGUAGCAUGUUAAUUUGCUGCCUGGGGGUUCAAUUAAGUAUCCAUUUAUCUAGUUUAACGCUUCAUUUCUGUUUAAGCAGCAUGUGUCACAUCAAACUCUUGACAAAUGCACCCAAGGAAUCCAGAGAUGAAAAAACAUCUCGUUGAAGAUGCCUGCAUGCUUGGUCAACUGAUUUCAGAUAAAUGUAGUGGCUAAAUAAUUAAGUUUAAGGCCAUGUAUACUCAGAAUUUGCCCUCUGCAUUAUCCCAUCCAAGUGCACACACAUUAGGAUUAGUGAAUAGUGAACACACACAACCAGAGCACCAUUUUGCUGUGGCGCCCGGGGAGUGACUGGGGGUUAGGUGCCUUGCUCAAGGGCACCUCAGUCAAUUCAUGCAGGUAUUGAGAAUCAAACCUGCAACCUUCGGGUUACCAGCUGACUCUCUAACCAUUAGGCCACAACCGUCCUUGAGGCCCUUACAAAAUAAACUUAAUAUAUAGUCUUUCGUCUUACUUUUAAGCAGUAUAUCAAUGCCAUUUUAAAUGUAUUUUUAUGAAAUACUUUGCUUGAAAAGUGUGCUUUCUUUAAAAUAAAUGUCAUUUGGUUUGACAUUUUAUCUAAUGCAAUGACAUUCAUACAUAUGAUAUCCAUACAUUUAAAAAUGUGCCUUGGAAUAGGAAUAGUUCACCCAAAAAUUAAAAAUCUGCUAUCAUUUAUUCAUCCUCAUGUUGUUCCAAACCUGUAUGACUGUCUUUUUUCUGUUGGUAACCAAACAGUUUUGGUUCCAAUUUUUCAAAAUAUGUGACCCGUGCUGCCAAAAUGAGUCGCAAAAAUUUGUUCAUUAAGCCCUUGUCUAGCAAUCCCAAUGCUCCAAACAGCAAUUCAACAUCUAAAAGUAUCUUUAUUUGUUCGUUUUCUGAGAGGAGUACCUUUCCUUUGACCAUGAAAAAUGUCGUUUUUCUCUGCUCACUUUUGGAUGACACGCGCUUCCUCUCAACACAAGUUUGGUAUCAUUUUAAAGCGCAGCAUUCCAACUAUACGAAUAUUCAUAGCGAAUUCUCGAUGGCAUGUGUCUGAACCAAUGAAACAUGAUUUUCAAACUCACGCUGAUGUAAACAAAACGAUCUUACUCACGCUGACUGUCAGAUCUGAACUGUGCGCACGAAGACUCCUCUGACAGCGCGCAAUCCUGAUAUAUAAACACACAGAAUUACAGUAUUUCAAAUGAUCUGUUUCGGCAAGUAUUCACGCAAACAUUAUCCGUUAUGUCUUAAAUGAACGUUUGGUUAACUGUUGGGAAAAACAUCUGCCAAAUUUGGUGUCAUUACCAGGGAUUUUAAGGUAUGGAUGCUAGGUGAUUUUGUUUUG